rnacentral:rRNA from 1 species
GACGAACGCUGGCGGCGUGCUUAACACAUGCAAGUCGAACGGAAAGGCCCUGCUUUUGUGGGGUGCUCGAGUGGCGAACGGGUGAGUAACACGUGAGUAACCUGCCCUUGACUUUGGGAUAACUUCAGGAAACUGGGGCUAAUACCGGAUAGGAGCUCCUGCUGCAUGGUGGGGGUUGGAAAGUUUCGGCGGUUGGGGAUGGACUCGCGGCUUAUCAGCUUGUUGGUGGGGUAGUGGCUUACCAAGGCUUUGACGGGUAGCCGGCCUGAGAGGGUGACCGGCCACGUUGGGAAUGAGAUACGGCCCAGACUCCUACGGGCGGCAGAGGUGGGGAAGAUUGCACAAUGGGCGGAAGACGGAUGCAGCAACGCCGCGUGCGGGAUGACGGCCUUCGGGUUGUAAGCCGCUUUCGCCUGUGACGAAGCGUGAGUGACGGUAAUGGGUAAAGAAGCACCGGCUAACUACGUG